rnacentral:rRNA from 1 species
UUGGAGGGCAAGUCUGGUGCCAGCAGCCGCGGUAAUUCCAGCUCCAAUAGCGUAUAUUAAAGUUGUUGCAGUUAAAAAGCUCGUAGUUGAAUUUCGGGAUUAGUACGCUGGUCGUGCCUUCGGUACGUACUGGUGUUACUGAUUUCUACCUUCUGACGAACCAUCAUGUCAUUAAUUUGGUGUGGUGGGGAAUCAGGACUGUUACUUUGAAAAAAUUAGAGUGUUUAAAGCAGGCUCGCGCUUGAAUACAUUAGCAUGGAAUAAUGAAAUAGGACGUUGAUCCUAUUUUGUUGGUUUCUAGGAUUGACGUAAUGAUUAAUAGGGAUAGUUGGGGGCAUUAGUAUUCAAUUGUCAGAGGUGAAAUUCUUGGAUUUAUUGAAGACUAACUACUGCGAAAGCACUUGCCAAGGAUGUUUUCAUUAAUCAAGAACGAAAGUUAGGGGAUCGAAGACGAUCAGAUACCGUCGUAGUCUUAACCAUAAACUAUGCCGACUAGGGAUCGGAUGAUGUUAUUUUUAAUGACUUAUUCGGCGCCUUACGGGAAAC